CAGUCGCCGCGGUAAUACAGAGGGUGCAAGCGUUAAUCGGAAUUACUGGGCGUAAAGCGCGCGUAGGUGGUUUGUUAAGUUGGAUGUGAAAUCCCCGGGCUCAACCUGGGAACUGCAUCCAAAACUGGCAAGCUAGAGUAUGGUAGAGGGUGGUGGAAUUUCCUGUGUAGCGGUGAAAUGCGUAGAUAUAGGAAGGAACACCAGUGGCGAAGGCGACCACCUGGACUGAUACUGACACUGAGGUGCGAAAGCGUGGGGAGCAAACAGGAUUAGAUACCCCUGUAGUCCCUGUCUAUUAUAC
rnacentral:rRNA from 1 species